rnacentral:rRNA from 1 species
AACGAACGCUGGCGGCAUGCCUAACACAUGCAAGUCGAACGAGACCUUCGGGUUAAGUGGCGCACGGGUGAGUAACGCGUGGUAACCUGCCCUUAGGUUCGGAAUAACUCCCCGAAAGGGGUGCUAAUACCGGAUAAUGUCUUCGGAUCAAAGCUGUAUCGCCUUUGGAUGGGCCCGCGUUGGAUUAGCUAGUUGGUAGGGUAAAAGCCUACCAAGGCGACGAUCCGUAGCUGCUCUGAGAGGAUGAUCAGCCACACUGGGACUGAGACACGGCCCAGACUCCUACGGGAGGCAGCAGUGGGGAAUAUUGGACAAUGGGCGGAAGCCUGAUCCAGCAAUGCCGCGUGAGUGAUGAAGGCCUUAGGGUUGUAAAGCUCUUUUACCCGGGAUGAUAAUGACAGUACCGGGAGAAUAAGCUCCGGCUAACUCCGUG